CAAUAGCGUAUAUUUAAGUUGUUGCAGUUAAAAAGCUCGUAGUUGGAUUUCGGAUGGGACUUGCCGGUCCGUCGUUUCGAUGUGCACUGGCCAGUCCUAUCUUGUUGUCGGGGACUAGCUCCUGGGCUUCACUGUCCGGGACUAGGAGCUGACGAGGUUACUUUGAGUAAAUUAGAGUGUUCAAAGCAAGCCUACGCUCUGAAUACAUUAGCAUGGAAUAACACGAUAGGACUCUGGCUUAUCUUGUUGGUCUGUGAGACCAGAGUAAUGAUUAAGAGGGACGGUCGGGGGCAUUCGUAUUUCAUUGUCAGAGGUGAAAUUCUUGGAUUUAUGAAAGACGAACUUCUGCGAAAGCAUUUGUCAAGGAUGUUUUCAUUAA
rnacentral:rRNA from 1 species